GCCGGGCAUGAUGGCACGUGCCUGUAAUCCCAGCUACUUGGAGGCUGAGGCAGGAGAAUCGCUUGAACCCAGGAGGUGGAGGUUACAGUGAGCCGAGAUUGCGUCACUGCACUCCAGCCUGGGUGACAGAGCGAGACUCCAUCUCAC
ensembl:misc_RNA Metazoa_SRP Metazoan signal recognition particle RNA